AGCGAACGCUGGCGGCAGGCUUAACACAUGCAAGUCGAGCGGGCGUAGCAAUACGUCAGCGGCAGACGGGUGAGUAACGCGUGGGAACGUACCUUUUGGUUCGGAACAACACAGGGAAACUCGUGCUAAUACCGGAUAAGCCCUUACGGGGAAAGAUUUAUCGCCGAAGGAUCGGCCCGCGUCUGAUUAGCUAGUUGGUAGGGUAAUGGCCUACCAAGGCGACGAUCAGCAGCUGGUCUGAGAGGAUGAUCAGCCACAUUGGGACUGAGACACGGCCCAAACUCCUACGGGAGGCAGCAGUGGGGAAUAUUGGACAAUGGGGGCAACCCUGAUCCAGCCAUGCCGCGUGAGUGAUGAAGGCCCUAGGGUUGUAAAGCUCUUUUGUGCGGGAAGAUAAUGACGGUACCGCAAGAAUAAGCCCCGGCUAACUUCGUGCCAGCCGCCGCCGUAA
rnacentral:rRNA from 1 species